GCUCAGUAGAUGAGUUACCUCCGACACAAUUUGUUCCAAAGGGAGAAGAGCAUCGGCUAGGCUGAAAUAAUCCCAAAUCAUAACCGUAGUGAGCAAAAACGUUGGGUUCGUUGAAGGUAGUCCAGUGAAGCACUCUGUCGCCAAAUUCUCUGAAGCAAAUAUUGGCAUAAGCGACAAAAGCUUUCCUGCACUCACAUUAUUACCAUUUCCUCAUGCAAUUCAUUCUCUGGGUUAUGUGCGAAUAUAUGUGCACAAAGGAAAGACACAAUUAUGCAAACAUGACAAUAACAAGAGCGUAAAGGUCUUUACACUGUCUUCUUACUAAGCCAUCCUCCAUACUCAUCUUCAAGUAUUUGUGGUGUAUCGUAAUGAAAUAAUGUAACAUGUGGUUCUAUUCCUGUGUGAGCAGUCUGUACAUGUUAGAAUCAAAAUCAGUUUGAAGGGGGCUUGGAACUAAGUUAUGAAUUGCUGCUUUCUGUUCACCAUAUAUGCCCGCAGAUAAAAAGAGAAGACAGACAUUUACAAUUGAUUGUUUGGAUAAAAUUUACGGAUGUACCAUGGUUAAUUAGUUCAUUGAUGAGGUUGUUGUAAUACUGUAGUCCCUUGGGAUUGACAGCUCCAGUCCCAUCUAAGAAGAAAAGGGCUAUCAUGCCCAAGAUAGCAAGAAAGAUAAUAGUACCAACAUUAAGUAAAUAUGAUGAUAAGUGCGCAUACUUGGAAUAAGUCUUGACCAUGAAAUAGAGAACCUAUAUGCCUCUAGGCCUGUCUCCACCAUCAGAUGGACAUCUUCCUGCCACAAAAUAUCGACUCAGAAAAGAAGAGGGGAAAUUUUAAAAGAAUCAGGGUAUGUCAACAUGCACAAUUUGUUUUUGGGUAAUAUUAGUAAAAGGCUAUACUGCUUUUGUAAGUGCUCAUUCUGCGAUCUGCAGCAAUAGCGUUUCUAUACACAAAAAUUAACACCACAAAGAUUGAGUACUUAGAAUUGAGCUUUUCAUGCAGUAGAAAUGCCUGUAGAGCCCCAAGGAUUGCCCAAUAGGGACAUAUAUAUACGAGAAAAACAAAGAUAAGGUCUUUCUUGAAUGAUUUUACAGACCUUGUAUUUGUGAUACUCAUCACAUGCAAUAUCUCCAUUAGCUCCAUUUGUGUAUCCUGAAAGUAUCAACUGAACCUCAAGACCUUCCAUUGAGAGUAAAAACACUAAGCACUAAUAACCAGAAGACUAAAAAUGCUCAUCUAUAGAUCAGCUANCAGCCUAUCUUUGUUGCUCGCAUAAUUAUCAAUAUACAUAAUAAAGAAAGAAUUUAUUAAUGCAAAGUAUUAACAUUAUUAGGUGGGAUUGGUCACUAACCAGCCAAUAAAAAAGUCAAAAGCCCUUUGGGUUGCUAUUACAUCUUCCGGUGCAUUGGUGUAAGGAACAUACCAGUAUGCAUAUACAUCUAGUCCUAUCAAACCAUGUUGUUCAGCCUGCAUCACAUGUUCGCCUAUGACUAAAUUAGUAACUGAAGUAUGCUGCGAUUGUUAAACUAGUAGUUGGUUUCAUACAUGCUCAAGAAGAUUUUAUUAAAUACAGAAUAACACAAAAUGGCAUGCCUACACUUGAAAUGUAAAUGUACAUUUUUUUAUUUACCAAUGUUCUACCUUAUACAGUAACAUAUGGAUGAAAUGAUAUGUUACCUUGUAUUUCUUAAAGUACAAUCUUGCAGUAGCUGCAUGUGCCAGUAGUAUGUUAUGAGCAACGAUGUAUGGCUCAGUAGAUGAGUUACCUCCGACACAAUUUGUUCCAAAGGGAGAAGAGCAUCGGCUAGGCUGAAAUAAUCCCAAAUCAUAACCGUAGUGAGCAAAAACGUUGGGUUCGUUGAAGGUAGUCCAGUGAAGCACUCUGUCGCCAAAUUCUCUGAAGCAAAUAUUGGCAUAAGCGACAAAAGCUUUCCUGCACUCACAUUAUUACCAUUUCCUCAUGCAAUUCAUUCUCUGGGUUAUGUGCGAAUAUAUGUGCAC
rnacentral:lncRNA from 1 species